CUCAUGAUAAUCCAUCUGGGAAGUGAGACCAAGAGCUGUUAGUCAUGUUUAUGAUGAAGAGAAAGAAACCAAGCCUCAAAGAAGUUAAACAUCCUACCUGGGGGUAUACCACUAGGUAGCAGGCUGGACCUCCUGAAUCCUCGUCCAUAACUUUUUCUAUCAUAAUAACUGCCGUGAAGACUGGCUGGGACAUCGUGAAAUCGUUUCAGGCAUCGCCCUCAUCUCCUGUCUUCCAUUAGAGCUGCACAUAAGAUAAGCAGAUUUUGCAUGCUUCCAGGGUACCUUCCAUUCCAGUGAAUCACAGCUCCCACUUUCUUGAAGUUCUGUGGUGUCUCUAAUGUAAAUUCUUCAGCCUACAAGCUCAGUACUUCCCGUCUCCCUCCAUCUUCGUGGGAGUGAAGCGAGGCAUCGUUUAUGGACCUGAGGACAAUCCCCAAAGCUCUUCUCUGGGACCAUGGACGGAUGUCUGUUUCCAGCCCUGAGUUAUUUUUCUCUGUUGACUUCAUUUCUGCCUUCCACCUCCGGAGUGCUGGAAUGGUUUGCCAGUGGCCCCUCCUUUCCCUCCUCAAGUGGCAGUGACACCUGGCCAUCUCUCAUGCAGGAAGGUAUUAAAGCUCUAGCAGUCUUGGCUGAACGAUCACGGAGAAUGACUCACAGAAUCAAAGGAUGGAGGGAAGGUGGUGUCUCCACAUUUUUAGGCAAAUGGAAGUUGAAUCUGCCAAGUAACCCUCCAACUCCUCUCUCCUUGAAAGGAUGCGCUGCACCAAAGGGAAGGAAGGAAUUUGUCAGAAACCACAGCACAAUUAAUGGUUGAAUCAAGC
rnacentral:lncRNA from 9 species